UACGUAGGGUGCAAGCGUUGUCCGGAAUCAUUGGGCGUAAAGCGCGCGUAGGUGGCCAUUUAAGUCCGCUGUGAAAGUCAAAGGCUCAACCUUUGAAAGCCGGUGGAUACUGGAUGGCUAGAGUACGGAAGAGGCGAGUGGAAUUCCUGGUGUAGCGGUGGAAUGCGCAGAUAUCAGGAGGAACACCGAUGGCGAAGGCAGGUCUCUGGGCCACUACUGACGCUGAGAAGCGAAAGCAUGGGGAGCGAACAGG
rnacentral:rRNA from 1 species